CCUACGGGGGGCUGCAGUGGGGAAUAUUGCGCAAUGGGGGAAACCCUGACGCAGCGACGCCGCGUGAGCGAAGAAGGCCUUAGGGUUGUAAAGCUCUGUUUUAAGGGACGAAUAACCUUAGUAGUAACUGACUAAGGAAUGACGGUACCUUAAGAGAAAGCCCCGGCUAACUACGUGCCAGCAGCCGCGGUAAGACGUAGGGGGCGAGCGUUGUCCGGAAUUACUGGGCGUAAAGAGCACGUAGGCGGGAUUUUAAGUCAGGUGUGAAAGACCGUGGCUCAACCACGGGGUUGCACAUGAAACUGGAAUUCUUGAGGGCAGGAGAGGAAAGUGGAAUUCCUGGUGUAGCGGUGAAAUGCGUAGAAAUCAGGAGGAACACCGGUGGCGAAGGCGACUUUCUGGACUGAUCCUGACGCUGAGGUGCGAAAGCGUGGGUAGCAAACAGGAUUAGAUACCCCGGUAGUC
rnacentral:rRNA from 1 species